GAUGAACGCUGGCGGCGUGCCUAAUACAUGCAAGUCGAGCGAACGGACGAGAAGCUUGCUUCUCUGAUGUUAGCGGCGGACGGGUGAGUAACACGUGGAUAACCUACCUAUAAGACUGGGAUAACUUCGGGAAACCGGAGCUAAUACCGGAUAAUAUUUUGAACCGCAUGGUUCAAAAGUGAAAGACGGUCUUGCUGUCACUUAUAGAUGGAUCCGCGCUGCAUUAGCUAGUUGGUAAGGCAACGGCUUACCAAGGCAACGAUGCAUAGCCGACCUGAGAGGGUGAUCGGCCACACUGGAACUGAGACACGGUCCAGACUCCUACGUGAGGCAGCAGUAGGGAAUCUUCCGCAAGGGGCGAAAGCCUGACGGAGCAACGCCGCGUGAGUGAUGAAGGUCUUCGGAUCGUAAAACUCUGUUAUUAGGGAAGAACAUAUGUGUAAGUAACUGUGCACAUCUUGACGGUACCUAAUCAGAAAGCCACGGCUAACUACGUG
rnacentral:rRNA from 1 species